UCUCUCUUCGCCGGAACCCUAGAAAUAUAUCCGUUCAAUUGCUUCAAUUCACUCCGUUUAGUCACCGGUUUCUCUUCCAAUGGGUUCCAGAGAUGCAGACCCAAGUCUAGGUUAUCUCACUCGCAAGGAAACGGAGGUAAAGCUUCCUAGACCUACGCGGGUGAAGAACAAAACCCCAGCUCCAAUCCAAAUCACCGCUGAGCAAAUCCUCCGGGAAGCUAGGGAACGUCAAGAGGCUGAAAUCAGACCACCGAAGCAGAAAAUCACUGAUCCAACAGAGCUUGCUGAUUACCGUCUUCGUAAGCGAAAGGAAUUCGAGGCGUUAAUUAGCCGUGUACGGUGGAACAAGAGUGUGUGGGUGAAAUAUGCUAAAUGGGAAGAAUCACAAAAGGAUUUCAAGCGUGCCCGUUCUAUAUGGGAACGUGCACUGGAAGUGGAUUACCGUGACCAUACCAUGUGGUUGAAGUAUGCUGAUGUGGAGAUGAAGAAUAAGUUUGUUAAUCAUGCUCGUAAUGUAUGGGAUCGAGCUGUUACUCUUUUGCCUAGGGUUGAUCAGUUGUGGUACAAAUAUAUUCAUAUGGAGGAGAUGUUAGGCAAUGUGGCUGGUGCUAGACAGAUUUUUGAGAGGUGGAUGGGUUGGAUGCCUGAUCAGCAAGGGUGGUUGUCUUAUAUUAAGUUUGAGUUAAGGUAUAAUGAAAUAGAGAGAGCAAGAGCGAUUUUCGAGAGAUUUGUGCAGUGUCAUCCGAAAGUUAGUGCUUGGAUUAGGUUUGCGAAAUUUGAGAUGAAGAAUGGGGAGAUAGGAAGGGCGAGGAAUUGUUAUGAGAGGGCUGUGGAUAAGUUGGCAGAUGAUGAGGAAGCUGAGCAGUUGUUUGUGGCAUUUGCUGAGUUUGAGGAGAAGUGUAAGGAAACGGAGAGGGCAAGGUGCAUAUAUAAGUUUGCACUUGAUCACAUACCGAAAGGGCGAGCUGAAGAUUUGUACAGGAAGUUUGUGGCAUUUGAAAAGCAGUAUGGUGAUAGAGAAGGUAUUGAGGACGCUAUAGUUGGAAAAAGGAGGUUUCAGUAUGAGGAUGAAGUGAGGAAGAAUCCACGUAACUAUGACACGUGGUUUGAUUAUAUUCGGCUGGAAGAGAGCGUUGGAAAUAAAGAGAGGAUUAGAGAGGUUUAUGAGAGAGCCAUUGCUAAUGUUCCUCCUGCUGAAGAGAAGCGAUAUUGGCAGCGAUACAUUUACUUAUGGAUUAAUUAUGCAUUAUAUGAAGAGCUUGAUGCAGAAGACAUGGAAAGAACCAGAGAUGUCUACAGGGAGUGUCUUAAGCUGAUUCCACAUCAGAAGUUUUCAUUUGCAAAGAUUUGGUUGUUGGCUGCCCAAUUUGAGAUUCGGCAGUUAAGACUCAAGGAGGCGCGACUUCUACUUGGAGAAGCAAUUGGAAGGGCUCCUAAAGACAAGAUAUUUAAGAAGUACAUAGAGAUAGAGCUGCAUUUUGGAAACAUAGAUCGUUGCAGAAAGCUUUAUGAGAAGUACUUGGAAUGGUCUCCAGAAAAUUGCUAUGCUUGGAGCAAAUUCGCCGAGUUGGAGAGGUCCUUGUAUGAAACGGAUAGAGCCAGGGCUAUUUUUGAGCUUGCAAUUGACCAACCUGCUCUGGAUAUGCCGGAGCUAUUAUGGAAGGCUUACAUCGACUUUGAAAUUUCUGAGGGUGAAUUUGAAAGAACUAGAGCACUAUAUGAAAGACUUCUUAACCGCACAAAACACUUGAAGGUGUGGAUAAGUUAUGCGAAGUUUGAGGCUUCGGCUAUGGAUCCAGAGGCUGAGGAAGAUAUUGAACUGAAAAAGAACUGCCUACAACGCGCCAGAGAUGUUUUUGAGAGGGCAGUUUCUUACUUCAGAAAUUCGGCACCCGAACUAAAGGAAGAAAGAGCAAUGCUUCUCGAAGAGUGGCUAAAUAUGGAAAGUGGUUUUGCUGAGCUUGGGGAUGUCAGUUUAGUCCGUGCUAAACUACCAAAGAAACUCAAGAAGAGAAGGCAAAUAGACAUGGAGGAUGGUCCAGCAGCUUAUGAAGAGUACAUAGACUAUCUUUUCCCAGAGGAAACACAGACCACAAAUCUCAAAAUAUUGGAAGCUGCUUACAAAUGGAAGAAGCAGCGAGUUGCAUCUGAGGAGGAUUAGCCAAGCUUUGUUAGCUUCCAUUUGGUUUUGGUAUUCUUGUUUUCUCCUUUCUGCCUUGUAUUAAAAGUUGAAAGAAUGCUUGUGCAAUUGACAUUAUAUCUUUUAUCUCAACAAGUCUUAUCUGGCAUUGUUUUUGCACUCAAAAAGGGGCAUGGCACAGGAGGCCUAGUAGAAUGUUGUGUAGUGACACGGAAUAAUCCAAUUUUAUUUUAUUUUGGCAACGAUAUAUUGUAAAUUAUGUUAGUGUACUUCAACCAGUUUGAACAUAGUUCAUCUCCCUUGAAG
rnacentral:misc_RNA from 1 species